rnacentral:rRNA from 1 species
UGGGGAAUUUUGCACAAUGGGGGAAACCCUGAUGCAGCGACGCCGCGUGAUUUAGAAGGCCUUCGGGUUGUAAAAAUCUUUUCUAUGGGAAGAAAAUGACAGUACCAUAGGAAUAAGGACCGGCUAAUUACGUGCCAGCAGCCGCGGUAAUACGUAAGGUCCGAGCGUUGUCCGGAAUCAUUGGGCGUAAAGGGUACGUAGGCGGGUAAGAAAGUUAGAAGUGAAAUCCUAUAGCUCAACUUUAGUAAGCUUUUAAAACUGCUCAUCUUGAGGUAUGGAAGGGAAAGUGGAAUUCCUAGUGUAGCGGUGAAAUGCGCAGAUAUUAGGAGGAAUACCGGUGGCGAAGGCGACUUUCUGGCCAUAACCUGACGCUGAGGUACGAAAGCGUGGGUAGCAAACAGG